CAAGGUUUCCGUAGGUGAACUGCGGAAGGAUCAUUA
rnacentral:rRNA from 2 species